ensembl:lncRNA
GUGUGUGUGUGUGAGAGAGAGAAAGGAGAUGAUAACCAGCUGAAGCCCUCAGGUUCUCUUGCUCUCCAUCCUUACAGAUGGCAAGGGUUGGGCCAGACCUCACCAUGCCCGGGCUGCGCCCAGCGAUAGCGGCCGCGCGGGGGAGGACAGAUGUUGCCGGCGAACGCUCCCAGAAGACGGAGGCAGCGGCGUCCAGAGGAACCGUUGGUGGAACCUCGCCUCGUCUUCAAUGGACGCCACUGCCCCACUCUCUCUGCCUGUGUGUCUGUGUCUAUGUGGCACGAGGGGGACUGAAGGGUGGCUGCUGAUGGCGGCGCCGAUGGCCAUGGUGACAAUGGCAAUGGUGACGCAAGGGCGGCAGUGGCGGCGCCGCCGCCGCCGCUCACGCAGUUUGCGGCUUAGCUCCCCCCGGGUUCACUGAAAGACUCUCUUCGGUGACGGGUAUUCUUGGGUGGAUAAUACGGAUCACGUUGUUAUUGCUUAAGAAUACGCGUAGUCGAGGAGAGUCCUCUCUUCGCCAAACACCAGCCGCAAUCCCCCCUUCCCCGCCCACCUCUCUCCCACAUACACCCGCCGGCCCACGGAGGACUGUCAGGAUGCCACACACCCCCACCCUCCAGAAAAAACACCCCUUCUUUGAUCUGUACUGCAUUGCAAUGUUCUUUUGCUCUUCCUUGUGACGAUCCAUGGUUGUCCCCUCGUCUGUCCCACCGUGCGUCUUGUCAGUGUGUCUCCGUGGCGACGGUCAGCGUUGUGUUUUUCUGUUUUUUUCUCUGUGUGUGUUGGAUAUGUUGCUUCGAGAUUGUUCUCGGCCUCCGGGAGAAGAACUGGCGGUCCGUCUGACAACUUCUGAUUCUCUGCAUGAGCAGUGUGUGUUAGCACAAUGCUAAGCUAGCAGGACGGCCUGCACACUCAGCAAAAUCUAGUUUCAGCUCAGUCGUUUUUUUCUCAGACUCAGAAUCUCCACUUUCACGUCACAUUCACAUACAACAAACUUUGUGUAUAUUCUGAGGGAUUUAGCUGUUUAUCUUGUCAGUAUAAUCGGAUUUAUGGAGUGAUACAAAAAGAUAUUAACAUUCCCUCUGGAAAAACAGCCGACAAAAUGAAAAGAGUUGAAGCUGGCUUCAUCCAUAUUUCUUCGAUGGAAAUGUAUGCACAUUUUAUAUACUGCAUACUUUAAACGCAAGUUGCCUUAAUUAAUGUAAUGGACAGUAAUCAAACAUGGUUAGGAGUGUCAGGCGUUUAUCACAUCAGCUGAUGUGGUGCUUUAAUGGUGCAGGUUCGAUAUCAGUUUGAGCCAGUUGGGCUGUUGCUCUGGGGACUCGCUCAGUACAGCACGAUAACUAAAUCCAUUUCUUUCAUUUAUAUUAAUCUCUUAAAUUACUGUUCUAUGAUAACUACAUGAAUUGUUUGCUCUAUGUUAUAUAGUUAUAGUUAGAUAAUAUUCAAAGCUGUCAACAGUCUUACAUUUCAGUAUUAAUUAGUU